ensembl:snRNA U2 U2 spliceosomal RNA
UUCUUUAUCUCAGCCUUUUGGCUAAGAACAAGUGUAGUAUACGUUCUUAUCAGUUUAAUAUUUUCUUUAUCCAUUCAGCCUUCAAUGGACACCUACAUUGAUUCCAUAUCUUGGUUAUUAUGAAUAGUGAUGCAAU